rnacentral:rRNA from 1 species
AUUGAACGCUGGCGGCAGGCCUAACACAUGCAAGUCGAACGGUAACAGGAAGCAGCUUGCUGCUUUGCUGACGAGUGGCGGACGGGUGAGUAAUGUCUGGGAAACUGCCUGAUGGAGGGGGAUAACUACUGGAAACGGUAGCUAAUACCGCAUAACGUCGCAAGACCAAAGAGGGGGACCUUCGGGCCUCUUGCCAUCGGAUGUGCCCAGAUGGGAUUAGCUAGUAGGUGGGGUAACGGCUCACCUAGGCGACGAUCCCUAGCUGGUCUGAGAGGAUGACCAGCCACACUGGAACUGAGACACGGUCCAGACUCCUACGGGAGGCAGCAGUGGGGAAUAUUGCACAAUGGGCGCAAGCCUGAUGCAGCCAUGCCGCGUGUAUGAAGAAGGCCUUCGGGUUGUAAAGUACUUUCAGCGGGGAGGAAGGGAGUAAAGUUAAUACCUUCGCUCAUUGACGUUACCCGCAGAAGAAGCACCGGCUAACUCCGUG